GUGUCACUGUCACAUGUGACAACUUUUUCUCCUCCUACGGGCUGGCAGAGCAGUUGCUCAAAAGAAAGAUCGCCAUGGUCGGCACAAUAAGGAAGAACAAGCCAGAACUUCCACUUGAGCUCCUGAAGGUCCGGGGGAGAGAGUCGCUCUCAUUAAUGUUCGCUUUUACAGCAACACAUACCCUGGUGUCGUAUGUACCAAAGCGGGGAAAGAAUGUGCUUCUCCUCAGCACAAAGCACCGGGAGCCGGAGAUCAGCAGCGGGGGUAAGAUGAAGCCCCAGAUCAUCCUUGAUUACAGCCGCUGCAAAUGAGCCGUGGAUACGAUGGACCAGAUGAUUGCAAUGUAUAGUUGCAGAAGAAAGACGAGACGUUGGCCACUAGUGGUGUUUUUUAAUAUGUUGGACAUCAGUGCCCUCAACGCAUACAUCGUCUGGACGGCCAUUGACCCUACAUGGAAUGUCAGAAAAUCCUGCAGACGAAGGCUGUUCCUGGAUCAGCUUGGGAAAAUGCUGGUCAUGCCAGAGAGAGUAGGCGACAUACCUGACGCUUUUGACUUAUUUCUGAACGAAGAAAUGACGCAAGUCAUAACCAGGUACACCAACCUGCAUGGGAGAAGGACGGUCCGGGGGUGGAAGGACCUUGACGCCAC
rnacentral:lncRNA from 1 species